CCAAUAGCGUAUAUUAAAGUUGUUGCAGUUAAAAAGCUCGUAGUUGAACUUCAGGCCUGUCCAGACGGUCCGCCUUAAUUGGUGUGUACUGUCCUUGGGUGGGUCCUACCUUCUGGCGAAGCGGCAUGGCCUUAAUUGGUUGUGUCGGGGAACCAGGACUUUUACUGUGAAAAAAUUAGAGUGUUCAAAGCAGGCAAAUAUGCUCGAAUACAUUAGCAUGGAAUAAUGGAAUAGGACGAUGGUUCUAUUUUGUUGGUUCUAGGACCGUUGUAAUGAUUAAUAGGGAUAGUUGGGGGCAUCAGUAAUCAAUUGUCAGAGGUGAAAUUCUUGGAUUUAUUGAAGACUAACUACUGCGAAAGCAUUUGCCAAGGAUGUUUUCAUUAAUCAAGAACGAAAGUCAGGGGAUCGAAGACGAUCAGAUACCGUCGUAGUCUUAACCAUAAACUAUGCCGACUAGGAAUCGGGCGAUGUUGACAAAAUGACUCGCUCGGCACCUCAUG
rnacentral:rRNA from 1 species